GGACUACUGGGGUAUCUAAUCCCGUUUGCUCCCCUGGCUUUCGCGCCUCAGCGUCAGCAGAGGUCCAGCGCGUCGCUUUCGCCACCGGCGUUCCUUCCGAUAUCUACGCAUUUCACCGCUCCACCGGAAGUUCCACACGCCCCUACCUCCCUCCAGGCCCGCAGUAUCCGCGGCCCUUCCCCGGUUGAGCCGGGGGAUUUCACCGCGGACCGACGGGUCCGCCUACGCGCCCUUUAAGCCCAGUGAUUCCGAACAACGUUCGCACGGUUCGUCUUACCGCGGCUGCUGGCAC
rnacentral:rRNA from 1 species